rnacentral:rRNA from 1 species
UGGGGAAUAUUGCACAAUGGGCGAAAGCCUGAUGCAGCGACGCCGCGUGGAGGAUGAAGGUUUUCGGAUUGUAAACUCCUGUUAAGUGGGAAGAAAGACGGAUACCUAAUACGUAUCUGGGAUGACGGUACCACUAGAGAAAGCACCGGCAAACUUCGUGCCAGCAGCCGCGGUAAUACGAAGGGUGCGAGCGUUAUUCGGAGUUACUGGGCGUAAAGAGCGCGUAGGCGGUUUUUUAAGUCAUUCGUUAAAUCCCCCGGCUUAACCGGGGAAACGCGAGUGAUACUGGAAGACUAGAGUAUAAGAGAGAGAAGUGGAAUUCUCGGAGUAGCGGUAAAAUGCGUAGAUCUCGAGAGGAACACCAGAGGCGAAGGCGGCUUCUUGGCUUAUUACUGACGCUAAAGUGCGAAAGCGUGGGGAGCAAACAGG